ACUGACUGCGCUCCUAAAUAUGGCAGCCAUGAAUCUUAGGAAUUAAUCUUUUAUAGACUGUAAAAUCGACAUAAAGAAUACUUGAUGUACUUAAAAAAUAAUAGUAGAACCAGAUAAUUGAGUUAUGAGAUUCCCAUAAUAAAACCAAAAAGAUGAAGUUCCAUGCUGAAGCAAUUACUGAAGCCUGAAGGAGUCUUAGGAACUCCUGUGAGCAACUCUAGUUCUAUAUUGUAGUGUCCCUCUCACAUUGUUGUCUUGUCCGGGCCACUGCCUUAUGGUUUGAUGAACAAUGCCAAGUAAUCCACCAUUUUAGCCAGGCUAUUUACAAUUUGAAAAAUAAAAAUAAUAAUAUUAAAAAAGGAAAAAGAAACUGACUGCAUAUCUAUAGCCUGCAUCGAGAGAUCAUAUCUCAGAAACACUCUCAAGUAACAGUUAAACUAACUUCUUUGCUGGCCAACCAAGCUCUUGAAAAUAGAAAAUAUUCAUUGUGGCAAUCUUCCAGAUAAGUAUAAAGAUAGCUUGUCUCUCAGAUACACACCUUUUAUGUCGACGGAUUCACAAGUCUGUUGCUGGUAGUCUGGGUCAUGCUGGUGAGACAAAGGAAUAUCACUCUGUGCCUCAUCUUCCAAAUCAAUGGCUAUGUUAUGGAGCAAGCAGCAGACUAGGAUAAUCCUUGGCAACCUAUGUUUGUCAGGUCUCCACAUCACUCCAUGAAUGAUCCUCCACAUGUCCUUCAGCCUCGCCAAUGCUCUGUUGGCUACCAUCUGAGUUGCAGAAAGCCGUUUAUUGAACUCGGCUUUUGGUUCUGAGAGAUCUUUCCCCUCAUAUGGAACAAUAAGAUAUGGCAGUAGAGGAAAUCCUGAAUCUCCAAUUAUAUAUUCCCUUAUUUCUGAUCCUUCAGAAAGCUGUAAUUUUUUCCCAUUCAACCUAUCUCCUCUUUCACAAAGUUUAUGGAAGUUUGAACUCUGAAACACCACCCAAUCUUGCAUUUUUCCAGGCCAUCCAGUGACUAUGUCUAGGAACCUCAUCUCAGGGUCUACAACUGCCUGCAAGACCAUGCUGUGAUUCUUCUCAUUAUCGAGCCAUACAUUACUUGAAGUGUCUGAGGAAGGCAACAGCAUCAUGAUGUGAGUGGUUUCAACCACACCACAACAAUUAGGGAGACCUUGUAUGUUCUCAAACUUAGAUUUUAUUUGCAUCAUUUCUAAUUCACUAGAAGGCCAUUUUAGGUGUUGAAGCCCGCUUUCUUCCAUGGCCUCCACAAAACGCCAGGUUACUUGGGAGACAGUUGAGUGGUUCAACCCAAAUGAAUCAGCAACUGUCACUAGUGAAUCACCAGAACUCAGUCUUCUUAAAGCCACAGCAACCUGGUCAUGCAAAGAUAAAACCUUGCCAUUUAAAAACGUAAAUUCCCUUGAUUUAGCAGUCAUAUCUUCCUUCACAAGUGAACAUAUGUAAUUGAAGGUUUUCCUGGUAAUCCUGAAAACUUGUUCAAACUUGUCCAAACUCUUUGAUUGAGAUGGAAGACCAUUAAUCCUCUUGGAAAAUUCAUCCCACCAAUCCACAGGCCCUUCCUUCUCUGCAGACACAGAAGCAGAAGCAGAAGCAUAAGCAUUAUCUUCGGCCCUUUUAUCUGUCUUUUUCCUCUUUUUGUACCCUCUUAUAGGACCCAUCAAAGCUUACACGACCCCAAUUAAAUCCAAACUGAAGAAACCCACUAGCAAAGUCACACAGAGAUCAUGAAAGAAUGAUGAGAGAGAUAAUGGGUCGUAAUAACAUGCAACAAAAUUUCAUGAACAGGCAAAGCUAGUUGCGAUAUGUAUAUUGUUUUUGUGUGUGGCUUUUGAAGCAUGCAAAUAAAUGAGAAAAUCAAUAAUAACAGAGAAAGAGUGCUUGGAUGAGAUGGGAAAAAAUAAAAGAGAAGAGAGAGAGAGAGAGUAUGUGCAUUUAUAUCUACACAGAGAAGCUAAAUCUAUGUGCUAGCACAUGUGGGUAGGUCUUUGUUAAAGACAAUGUGGCAAUAGAAGAGAACUCUUUUCUUACAACAUUUCCUGUUACUCUAACAAUCUCAGAGAAGUAGAGUAAUAUGCCUUGGGAAGUUAGCUUCAAGUUUUU
rnacentral:misc_RNA from 1 species